ACGGGGAGCAGCCCAGAGCCUGAAUCAGUAUGUGUGUUAGUGGAAGCGUCUGGAAAGGCGCGCGAUACAGGGUGACAGCCCCGUACACAAAAAUGCACAUGCUGUGAGCUCGAUGAGUAGGGCGGGACACGUGGUAUCCUGUCUGAAUAUGGGGGGACCAUCCUCCAAGGCUAAAUACUCCUGACUGACCGAUAGUGAACCAGUACCGUGAGGGAAAGGCGAAAAGAACCCCGGCGAGGGGAGUGAAAAAGAACCUGAAACCGUGUACGUACAAGCAGUGGGAGCACGCUUAGGCGUGUGACUGCGUACCUUUUGUAUAAUGGGUCAGCGACUUAUAUUCUGUAGCAAGGUUAACCGAAUAGGGGAGCCGAAGGGAAACCGAGUCUUAACUGGGCGUUAAGUUGCAGGGUAUAGACCCGAAACCCGGUGAUCUAGCCAUGGGCAGGUUGAAGGUUGGGUAACACUAACUGGAGGACCGAACCGACUAAUGUUGAAAAAUUAGCGGAUGACUUGUGGCUGGGGGUGAAAGGCCAAUCAAACCGGGAGAUAGCUGGUUCUCCCCGAAAGCUAUUUAGGUAGCGCCUCGUGAAUUCAUCUCCGGGGGUAGAGCACUGUUUCGGCAAGGGGGUCAUCCCGACUUACCAACCCGAUGCAAACUGCGAAUACCGGAGAAUGUUAUCACGGGAGACACACGGCGGGUGCUAACGUCCGUCGUGAAGAGGGAAACAACCCAGACCGCCAGCUAAGGUCCCAAAGUCAUGGUUAAGUGGGAAACGAUGUGGGAAGGCCCAGACAGCCAGGAUGUUGGCUUAGAAGCAGCCAUCAUUUAAAGAAAGCGUAAUAGCUCACUGGUCGAGUCGGCCUGCGCGGAAGAUGUAACGGGGCUAAACCAUGCACCGAAGCUGCGGCAGCGACACUAUGUGUUGUUGGGUAGGGGAGCGUUCUGUAAGCCUGUGAAGGUGUGCUGUGAGGUAUGCUGGAGGUAUCAGAAGUGCGAAUGCUGACAUAAGUAACGAUAAAGCGGGUGAAAAGCCCGCUCGCCGGAAGACCAAGGGUUCCUGUCCAACGUUAAUCGGGGCAGGGUGAGUCGACCCCUAAGGCGAGGCCGAAAGGCGUAGUCGAUGGGAAACAGGUUAAUAUUCCUGUACUUGGUGUUACUGCGAAGGGGGGACGGAGAAGGCUAUGUUGGCCGGGCGACGGUUGUCCCGGUUUAAGCGUGUAGGCUGGUUUUCCAGGCAAAUCCGGAAAAUCAAGGCUGAGGCGUGAUGACGAGGCACUACGGUGCUGAAGCAACAAAUGCCCUGCUUCCAGGAAAAGCCUCUAAGCAUCAGGUAACAUCAAAUCGUACCCCAAACCGACACAGGUGGUCAGGUAGAGAAUACCAAGGCGCUUGAGAGAACUCGGGUGAAGGAACUAGGCAAAAUGGUGCCGUAACUUCGGGAGAAGGCACGCUGAUAUGUAGGUGAAGCGACUUGCUCGUGGAGCUGAAAUCAGUCGAAGAUACCAGCUGGCUGCAACUGUUUAUUAAAAACACAGCACUGUGCAAACACGAAAGUGGACGUAUACGGUGUGACGCCUGCCCGGUGCCGGAAGGUUAAUUGAUGGGGUCAGCGCAAGCGAAGCUCUUGAUCGAAGCCCCGGUAAACGGCGGCCGUAACUAUAACGGUCCUAAGGUAGCGAAAUUCCUUGUCGGGUAAGUUCCGACCUGCACGAAUGGCGUAAUGAUGGCCAGGCUGUCUCCACCCGAGACUCAGUGAAAUUGAACUCGCUGUGAAGAUGCAGUGUACCCGCGGCAAGACGGAAAGACCCCGUGAACCUUUACUAUAGCUUGACACUGAACAUUGAGCCUUGAUGUGUAGGAUAGGUGGGAGGCUUUGAAGUGUGGACGCCAGUCUGCAUGGAGCCGACCUUGAAAUACCACCCUUUAAUGUUUGAUGUUCUAACGUGGACCCGUGAUCCGGGUUGCGGACAGUGUCUGGUGGGUAGUUUGACUGGGGCGGUCUCCUCCUAAAGAGUAACGGAGGAGCACGAAGGUUGGCUAAUCCUGGUCGGACAUCAGGAGGUUAGUGCAAUGGCAUAAGCCAGCUUGACUGCGAGCGUGACGGCGCGAGCAGGUGCGAAAGCAGGUCAUAGUGAUCCGGUGGUUCUGAAUGGAAGGGCCAUCGCUCAACGGAUAAAAGGUACUCCGGGGAUAACAGGCUGAUACCGCCCAAGAGUUCAUAUCGACGGCGGUGUUUGGCACCUCGAUGUCGGCUCAUCACAUCCUGGGGCUGAAGUAGGUCCCAAGGGUAUGGCUGUUCGCCAUUUAAAGUGGUACGCGAGCUGGGUUUAGAACGUCGUGAGACAGUUCGGUCCCUAUCUGCCGUGGGCGCUGGAGAACUGAGGGGGGCUGCUCCUAGUACGAGAGGACCGGAGUGGACGCAUCACUGGUGUUCGGGUUGUCAUGCCAAUGGCACUGCCCGGUAGCUAAAUGCGGAAGAGAUAAGUGCUGAAAGCAUCUAAGCACGAAACUUGCC
rnacentral:rRNA from 1 species